rnacentral:rRNA from 1 species
UAGGGAAUCUUCGGCAAUGGGGGGAACCCUGACCGAGCAACGCCGCGUGAGUGAAGAAGGUUUUCGGAUCGUAAAGCUCUGUUGUUAAGGAAGAACGAGUGUGAGAAUGGAAAGUUCAUGCUGUGACGGUACUUAACCAGAAAGGGACGGCUAACUACGUGCCAGCAGCCGCGGUAAUACGUAAGUCCCGAGCGUUGUCCGGAUUUAUUGGGCGUAAAGCGAGCGCAGGCGGUUAGAAAAGUCUGAAGUGAAAGGCAGUGGCUCAACCAUUGUAGGCUUUGGAAACUGUUUAACUUGAGUGCAGAAGGGGAGAGUGGAAUUCCAUGUGUAGCGGUGAAAUGCGUAGAUAUAUGGAGGAACACCGGUGGCGAAAGCGGCUCUCUGGUCUGUAACUGACGCUGAGGCUCGAAAGCGUGGGUAGCAAACAGG